GUCAUAUCAUUACGCAGAAUUUUGCGAACGAAAUUUUCAAGUGUAAAGUGUAAAGAACUCGCGAUUCUACUUUUGCACAAGUUCACUAACCAACUCAAGGCCAGUGAACUGCACAACUCACUUACACGAGUGGAACUGGAAACUGGAUAUCUAAUCUUAUAGUAAAUCUACUACUUUACCUACAACCUACCUGUGUUUAACCGAUGAGUAAUCCUACCUAAAAUCCUCCCUCGCCAAAACAGAAAAUGCAAACAAAGCAAAAAAACACGAGCUACUUAUUCGCCAGCACUGCUAAACGCCAUCAGAGACUAUGAAUAAAUGCUUAUAAACGUUGGA